AGGAUUUGCUUCUAACAAUUUAUUGUUAAGGUUUGGAAGUUUGUGAUGCUUUAUUGAAAAAGUAUUGUAAAUUUUGGCGCUAUGGGGUAUUUCUAUGACUUUUAUGCAAGUUCAAGGUUUGGUUUAGAGCAUAUUAGGUUUUAAUAA